rnacentral:rRNA from 1 species
UGCGUAGGCGGUGCGGAAAGUUGGGUGUGAAAGCCCUCGGCUCAACCGAGGAAUUGCGCCCAAAACUGCCGCACUAGAGGAAGACAGAGGUACGCGGAACUUAGGGUGGAGCGGUGAAAUGCGUUGAUAUCCUAAGGAACACCGGUGGCGAAAGCGGCGUACUGGGUCUUAUCUGACGCUGAGGCACGAAAGCUAGGGGAGCGAAG